rnacentral:miRNA from 1 species
UCGUGCAGCCCUUUAGAGUGU